ACCUGCCCGCUGAUUAAUUGAAUGGCCGCAGUAAUUUGACUGUGCAAAGGUAGCAUAAUCAUUAGUUUUUUAAUUAAAAGCUUGUAUGAAAGGUUGGACGAGGUAAAAUCUGUCUCUAUUUAAUUUAUUUUAGAAUUUAAUUUUUAAGUUAAAAAGCUUAAAUUUUUGUAAAAGACGAGAAGACCCUAUAGAUCUUUAUAUUUAUAUUAAUAAUUUUAUUUAGGAUUAUUUUAUUUUUUAUUUAUUAUAAUAUUUUAUUGGGGUAAUAAAGAGAUUAAUUGAAUUCUUUUUUUAUAUAUAUAUAGAUUAAUAGAUAUUUGAUCCAAUUAUUUUGAUUAUAAGAUUAAGUUACCUUAGGGAUAACAGCGUAAUUUUUUUAGAGAGUUCAUAUCGAUAAAAAAGUUUGCGACCUCGAUGUUGGAUUAAAAAUUAUUUUAGCUGCAAAAGGUUAGAAAUUUGGUCUGUUCGACCAUUAAAUUUUU
rnacentral:rRNA from 1 species